CACCAUCACAGUCCAAACCAUAGUCGAUGACUCCGAGCAAGGACUGAAAGAACAGGUAUAAGUCUAGAACAGAAGGGGAAGAACUCCGAAGAAGGAGAUGGGAGGACUCUCAACGCUCUCACAAUCACAACAAUGGCGCCCAACGCCCAAGAGUAUUGCGACACAGACCGAGAAUCCCAGGAAUUUCUCAGUCCAAUUGAACCCCAGACCUAAUCCAUCACUAAGAAAAAAACUGAAGUCCAUCUCUUGUUUCGCUGCCCGCCCCUCCAAAUCCCAGCCUAUAGACAAGAAUUCCACCCCGCCCUUGGUGGUGGUGGGAUCAGCCAAUGCCGACAUCUACGUGGAGAUCGCCAGGCUACCGCAGGAAGGGGAGACCGUCUCAGCCAAGACUGGGCAGACCUUGGCGGGGGGCAAGGGGGCCAACCAGGCUGUGUGUGGUGGAAAGCUGGCAUACCCAACCUACUUUAUGGGUCAGGUGGGUGAGGAUGCCCACGGGAAGUUGAUCGUUGAGGCACUUGAGGGUGGUGGGGUGUUUCUUGAUCACCUCAGAACUGUGGCUCAUGCACCCACUGGCCAUGCUGUGGUGAUGCUCCAAGAGGAUGGGCAGAACUCAAUCAUCAUUGUGGGUGGUGCCAACAUGUCCUAUUGGCCAGAGUCUUUGCCUGAGGAGUAUUUGGAGGUGGUAAGGAAUGCUGGGAUUGUUCUGCUCCAAAGAGAAAUUCCUGAUUCUGUUAACAUACAAGUAGCAAAGGCUGCUAGGAGUGCACAUGUUCCAAUUAUUCUGGAUGCUGGUGGUGUGGAUUCUCCAGUCCCUUCAGAACUUCUUUCAGUUGUUGAUAUUUUCAGCCCAAAUGAAACUGAACUUGCCCGGCUAACAAAAAUGCCAACGGAAAAUUUUGAACAAAUCAAGCAAGCUGUGGAAAAAUGCCAUGACAUGGGUGUUAACCAAGUUCUUGUGAAACUUGGGGACAAAGGAUCAGCUCUUUUCGCAAAAGGAGAGGAACCAGUUAGACAGCCCAUCAUUAAAGCUGAGAAAGUCAUUGAUACAACUGGAGCUGGGGACACUUUUACUGCUGCUUUUGCAGUAGCCCUUGUCGAAGGAAAAUCCAAAAAGGAAUGCUUGGCAUUUGCUGCUGCCGCAGCAUCUCUCUGUGUUCAAGUGAAGGGAGCCAUUCCAAGCAUGCCUGAAAGGAAAAGAGUUCUGAAUCUUCUCAAGUCUCUUUGAGGAUAUCGCAUCAUGCUUAGAAAUAAGAGAAUUGAAGGUUUGCAUCUCUACAAGUGAUAAUUAAGCUGCUCAUAAAUCUUUUCAUCGUGUCCUCUCAUUUGUAAUGGGACUCCUGCUUUUUCUGAAGGGAGAUGCCCAAGUCGACAAGUUGAUAUUAUGAGGAAUAGACUACCUAGAUGAGAUCAAUAGAUGGCCAUGAUCUCUUAGCUGGGGGAGUCCCUGGAUCCUGCAACAUCACAAAACCAUUCAUCAUUAACAAAGUUUUGCCUUGUUUAUGUAUAUUUAUGUGCAUUGGAUUACUGCUUAUGUUCAUAGUUUCAGUCUUAAAAUGAUAGAUGACUAAACCGAAAAGGAGAGAAAAACCUGGUAGAAA